UGCCAGCCGCCGCGGUAAUACGGAGGGGGUUAGCGUUGUUCGGAAUUACUGGGCGUAAAGCGCGCGUAGGCGGACUAUUAAGUCAGGGGUGAAAUCCCGGGGCUCAACCCCGGAACUGCCUUUGAUACUGGAAGUCUUGAGACCGAGAGAGGUGAGUGGAACUCCGAGUGUAGAGGUGAAAUUCGUAGAUAUUCGGAAGAACACCAGUGGCGAAGGCGGCUCACUGGCUCGGUACUGACGCUGAGGUGCGAAAGCGUGGGGAGCAAACAGGAUUAGAUA
rnacentral:rRNA from 1 species